rnacentral:rRNA from 2 species
UGAGCGGUAGAGGAGCGUCGUGUAAGCCGAUGAAGGUGUGUUGAGAAGCAUGCUGGAGGUAUCACGAGUGCGAAUGCUGACAUGAGUAACGAUAAAGGGAGUGAAAAACUCCCUCGCCGGAAGACCAAGGGUUUCUGUUCGACGCUAAUCGGAGCAGAGUGAGUCGGCCCCUAAGGCGAGGCCGAAAGGCGUAGUCGAUGGGAAACGGGUCAAUAUUCCCGUACCGGACAUGAUUGCGAUGGGGGGACGGAGAAGGCUAGGUGAGCCAGGCGUUGGUUGUCCUGGUGAAAGUGAGUAGGCUUGGGUCUUAGGUAAAUCCGGGACCCUUCAAGGCCGAGACACGAAACGAA